rnacentral:rRNA from 1 species
GCUUGUCUCAAAGAUUAAGCCAUGCAUGUGUAAGAAUAAACAAAUUUUAUUCUGUGAAUCUGCGUACAGCUCAUUAUAUCAGUAAUUAUUUAUUUGAUGGUAAUUCUAUAUGGAUACCCGUAGUAAUUCUAGAGCUAAUACAUGCGUAAAGUCCCAACUCUUACGGGAAGGGAUGUAUUUAUUAGUUAAAAAAUCAAUGCAGGCUCUGCCUGGUUUUGUGGUGAAUCAUAGUAACUGUUCGAAUCGCAGCCUCGUGCCGCGAUAGUUCAUUCAAAUUUCUGCCCUAUCAGCUUUCGACGGUAGUGUAGUGGACUACCGUGGCGUUAACGGGUAACGGAGAAUUAGGGUUCGAUUCCGGAGAGGGAGCCUGAGAAACGGCUACCACAUCCAAGGAAGGCAGCAGG